AGCAGCGCCGGGAGAGCGGCGGGCGCCCCGCGGGGCCGGCGGGGCAUGGCGGGCUCAGAGCCGCUGCCCGCGCUCCCGUCCCUGGCGUUCCCCCACUGACAGAGCGGAGCGGGGCGCGACGCGACCUCCUGCUUCUCAGUGCGGGUGGCUGCUCCCGCUCAUACCCCGGAGUGGCCACCGAGGGCGGGAGGCGGUGGGAGCGGGGGGCGCUGUAAAAAAAGUAAAGACAGAAAGCGGGAGGGGGCCGCAGCGCCGCCACCGCCGCCAGCCACUCUGCAAACUUUCCGCCGCCUCAGCCCGCCUCCGCGGGAGCCCCGAGCACCGCCCGCCCCGCCGCAGCCCCCUCCCCCUGCCAUGUGACAGCCGCAGCCCCUGCCCGCUCCGCCGCGGCCGGGCCCCGCGGAGCGGGGGCUGGGAGAGCGGGUGCCAGGCCUGGGCUGGCGUGGCGCCCCGCAGCUUCGCGGCCGUGGCAGCGGCACUCCCGGCCUGCGCCGGGCGGCGGCACAUGGCCGGCCUCGCAUCACGGCGGGUACUACGGUGGGACCUUGCUGCUGUCCCCGGCCUGUCCGUGGGCGGGCGGGAGCGGGCAGCGGGCCCUGAGUGCUUAGAGCGGCAGCCACGGCGCACGGGCCGUGGUGAGAAGGCACGGGUACCGUGGUCUUCCUCGUGCGGGAUUUCCCUUUGCCGUCGCGCCAGUUAGCGCAUGUCGUGGUAAUCCAAAAGCUGCUCCAGAGGCCCCAGAGGGUUCCCAGCCAAGCCUGGGGUCACUGGCAUGUAAAAGGAUCCCAGCUCCAAAGGUUCAGGGGAGUGGGCAGGGCGUACAGAUUCCACAUCUCUGAGGUUUGUAUGUUUCACCUGAAAGAUUGUAGACGUCUUAGACACUGUGAACCUGAACCUUCAAAGUCUUACAGCUCCGAUAGCAAGAUCUGUAAGGCUGAAACUUUGUCCCUGUUUUUAUUGUUUCCAUGCGUAUCUAAGGACACAGGGAUUUUGUUAAAGAAACAAAACUACAUUUCAGUCAGGAAUCAUGAAUUUGCAAGCCAAGCAAGCAAGUCCUGAGUAACUACGAACAUUCACAUGUCACUCUUGACACAACUGUUCCAGGUGCAUAGGAUGUGCAGAGCUGUGCAGUGUUUUGUCAGCUUGUGCUCCGUUGACCACUAGCGUUCCUUAAGGAAAUUAUUGUGGGAAAACAAACAAAUACUGAAGGAGCACACUUUUU